rnacentral:rRNA from 1 species
GACGAAGGAUGCAAGCGUUAUCCGGAUUUAUUGGGUUUAAAGGGAGCGUAGGUGGCCUUAUAAGUCAGUGGUGAAAGACUGUCGCUUAACGACGGAAUUGCCAUUGAUACUGUAGGGCUUGAGUAUAGUUGCUGUGGGCGGAAUAUGACAUGUAGUGGUGAAAUACUUAGAGAUGUCAUAGAACACCGAUUGCGAAGGCAGCUCACAAAACUAUAACUGACACUGAGGCUCGAAAGUGCGGGGAUCAAACAGGAUUAGAUACCCUGGUAGUCCGCACUGUAAACGAUGAUUACUCGUUGCUGGGGAGCAAUUCUCAGUGACUAAGCGAAAGCGAUAAGUAAUCCACCUGGGGAGUACGCCGGCAACGGUG